UACGUAGGUGGCAAGCGUUGUCCGGAUUCAUUGGGCGUAAAGGGUGCGUAGGCGGUCGUGCAAGUCGGAUGUGAAAUCUCAGGGCUCAACCCUGAAACUGCAUUCGAUACUGCGUGGCUAGAGUGCUGGAGAGGAGACUGGAAUUUACGGUGUAGCAGUGAAAUGCGUAGAUAUCGUAAGGAAGACCAGUGGCGAAGGCGAGUCUCUGGACAGCAACUGACGCUGAGGCACGAAGGCCAGGGGAGCAAACGGG
rnacentral:rRNA from 1 species